rnacentral:rRNA from 1 species
GUGGGGAAUCUUAGACAAUGGGGGAAACCCUGAUCUAGCCAUGCCGCGUGAUCGAUGAAGGCCUUAGGGUUGUACAGAUCUUUCAGGUGGGAAGAUAAUGACUGUACCACCAGAAGAAGCCCCGGCUAACUCCGUGCCAGCAGCCGCGGUAAUACGUAGGGGGCUAGCGUUGUUCGGAAUUACUGGCCGUAAAGCGCACGUAGGCGGAACAGACAGUCAGAGGUGAAAGCCCAGGGCUCAGCCUAGGAACUGCAUUUGAAACUGCUGGUCUUGAGGGCGAGAGAGGUGAGUGGAAGUCCGAGUGUAGAGGUGAAAUGCGUAGAUAUGCGGAGGAACACCAGUGGCGAAGGCGGCUCACUGGCUCGAUACUGACGCUGAGGUGCGAAAGCGUGGGGAGCAAACAGGAUUAGAAACCCUGGUAGUCC